rnacentral:rRNA from 1 species
GGGAAACGAUGUGGGAAGGCACAGACAGCCAGGAUGUUGGCUUAGAAGCAGCCAUCAUUUAAAGAAAGCGUAAUAGCUCACUGGUCGAGUCGGCCUGCGCGGAAGAUGUAACGGGGCUAAACCAUGCACCGAAGCUGCGGCAGCGACACUAUGUGUUGUUGGGGAGGGGAGCGUUCUGUAAGCCUGCGAAGGUGUGCUGUGAGGCAUGCUGGAGGUAUCAGAAGUGCGAAUGCUGACAUAAGUAACGAUAAAGCGGGUGAAAAGCCCGCUCGCCGGAAGACCAAGGGUUCCUGUCCAACGUUAAUCGGGGCAGGGUGAGUCGACCCCUAAGGCGAGGCCGAAAGGCGUAGUCGAUGGGAAACAGGUUAAUAUUCCUGUACUUGGUGUUACUGCGAAGGGGGGACGGAGAAGGCUAUGUUAGCCGGGCGACGGUUGUCCCGGUUUAAGCAUGUAGGCUGAUUGUCCAGGCAAAUCCGGAUAAUCAAGGCUGAGGUGUGAUGACGAGGCACUAC